AGAUGGCGACCGGCGCACGGGUGAGUAACACGUAUCCAACCUGCCGAUAACUCGGGGAUAGCCUUUCGAAAGAAAGAUUAAUACCCGAUGGCAUAAUUAGACCGCAUGGUCUUAUUAUUAAAGAAUUUCGGUUAUCGAUGGGGGUGCGUUCCAUUAGGCAGUUGGUGAGGUAACGGCUCACCAAACCUUCGAUGGAUAGGGGUUCUGAGAGGAAGGUCCCCCACAUUGGAACUGAGACACGGUCCAA
rnacentral:rRNA from 1 species